AUGGGAGCUUGCUCCCUGAGGUUAGCGGCGGACGGGUGAGUAACACGUGGGUAACCUGCCUGUAAGAUUGGGAUAACUCCGGGAAACCGGAGCUAAUACCGGAUAACAUUUUGAACCGCAUGGUUCGAAAUUGAAAGAUGGUUUCGGCUGUCACUUACAGAUGGACCCGCGGCGCAUUAGCUAGUUGGUGAGGUAACGGCUCACCAAGGCGACGAUGCGUAGCCGACCUGAGAGGGUGAUCGGCCACACUGGGACUGAGACACGGCCCAGACUCCUACGGGAGGCAGCAGUAGGGAAUCUUCCGCAAUGGACGAAAGUCUGACGGAGCAACGCCGCGUGAACGAUGAAGGCCUUCGGGUCGUAAAGUUCUGUUGUUAGGGAAGAACAAGUACCAGAGUAACUGCUGGUACCUUGACGGUACCUAACCAGAAAGCCACGGCU
rnacentral:rRNA from 1 species